rnacentral:rRNA from 1 species
UACGGGGGGGGCGAGCGUUGUUCGGAAUUACUGGGCGUAAAGGGUUCGUAGGUGGCUUGUUAAGUCAGACGUGAAAUCCCUCGGCUCAACCGGGGAAUUGCGUCUGAGACUGGCGAGCUUGAGUGCAGGAGAGGAACGCGGAAUUCCAGGUGUAGCGGUGAAAUGCGUAGAUAUCUGGAGGAACACCGGUGGCGAAGGCGGCGUUCUGGACUGCAACUGACACUGAGGAACGAAAGCCAGGGUAGCAAACGGG